rnacentral:rRNA from 1 species
GGCACCUACGGGGCGCAGCAGUGAGGAAUAUUGGUCAAUGGGCGAGAGCCUGAACCAGCCAAGUCGCGUGAGGGAAGACGGUCCUAUGGAUUGUAAACCUCUUUUGUCGGGGAGCAAAAAGGCCUCGUGAGGCCACAAGUGAGAGUACCCGAAGAAAAAGCAUCGGCUAACUCCGUGCCAGCAGCCGCGGUAAUACGGAGGAUGCGAGCGUUAUCCGGAUUUAUUGGGUUUAAAGGGUGCGUAGGCGGACGCUUAAGUCAGCGGUAAAAUUGCGGGGCUCAACCUCGUCGAGCCGUUGAAACUGG